CCACCUCCAAUGGCUGUUGGAUUACCUCCUUCACUCAUCCCAAAUGGCGUUGGAAUCCAUAGCAAUGGACAUGUGAAUGGUGCUGUAGGACCGUGGUUCAGUCAUACCUAAAUUUCAUUAUUGCAGGUUGCAUAAUGCCAAUAUAGGUAUUUGUUUGCCUAAUUUGGGGGGUUUUUUUUUUUCUCGGCUGGGAGGACAUCUCACUGAUUGGGAUGUUCUCUUAAUGAGUUAUUUCUUGGCAUUUUGACUGGUAGGACUAUUGGAAUACUGGAAAAAAAGAAUAAUACAAAUAUCAAGUGAAAGAAGGGAAG
rnacentral:misc_RNA from 1 species